ensembl:miRNA
GUUGCAGACUCUAGCGCCAUUUUAAGAGCUAUAAGUGUGAAUGUUGUCAUAGCUCUUUAAAUGGUACUGCAGUAUGCAUUCAGAUAA